UACUCCUUCAUAGUUCAUAUUUGCUCAUUCUUUAUGAUUUUUCUAUCAGAAUGUUCAUUGGAGAGGUUGGUCCCAGGUCAAGUACAUGCUCUAUGUGUGUCCUAUUUUAGCUGUGAGCACUUCCUUUGAAUCUGUAAAUGCAUAUAGUAUAUUCAGAUGCCAAUUUAAUAGAUUAAACAUCUGUAUUGGAUGGAGUGAACAACCUUUCUUACAUACAGCAUACAGCAUACAGCAUGUGUAUUUCAUAGAAUAUUACUGCUAGGUUGCCCUCCUCCUGGGGAGUUAAGUUAAAUAGUUUGGCAUAGAAUACCAAUGUUUACAAAAAGUUUAAGCCAUAGUAUCUUGCAAGGAUGUUCAAAGGGCUUACGGGGAGGUGAGAUGAAAAGAAAAGCCACGCAUGCUAGUACCUCUAGUUUUACUGUCACCCUUUACAGUUGAUUUGAUUGAGUGUGGAAGGGGAGGGUCUUGCUGGUUCAUGUGAAUCAGUAUUAGUGCCUCCCUUCAUAAUAGAUAUAUUUAUGUUAUAUAAUUUAUUUGGAACUUUUUUUUUUAUCAUACUGGAAUGGCUUUAUAUCGAGCUUAGUGGCAUAAAUAGAAUGCAUUUGCAACUGUAGUUUGCAGGGAUUAUAUGAUGUGGAGAUUUGUUGUUCCAUAUAAUCUUCUUUGGUGUGAGAUACUUGUGUUCUCUGUGGCAAUUAAAGUAUGGUUGAGAUGUGCAUCUCAUGAACGGAGCCUAAUGCAGGGUUCCUAGUUUAUGGACUUUAUUAUUAUUGCAUUGCUCUCUGAUCACCAGGGAGAAAUUUUGAUUGGAUGGAUCUCAUUCUUUAUUUUUAAAUGGUUCUACCAAUGGUUUGUUCUCUUGUUUGGGAUAGUAGGUAUCAUGUAUCUUUUUCAAUCUGCUACCACCCCCUGCCUUUACUCUUGGAUCAGUUUGACAUUAUUAAUCAUUUUCUUGCUUUUACUUUGGACCGAAAAAUUCCUAAUUUUCGUGAUCUAGUGACUUUGGACAUGCAAUAACUAACCUCUGUGAUCCAGUUCAGUCCAAGUUUUAUUAUUUUAUCUCAGUUGAGCCAGACUGUUGUACUAACUUUUAAUAGUUGCAUUUUCUUUACAGCCCUUCCUGGUUGAUUUAUUCAUUUUAAAUUUUAUGUGGUGAAUGAAAUAAUCUUAUGCAUAAGCUUGGCUUUUCCUCAUACCUGUACAACCGCUCGUAGUGUUGGUUAAGAAUGAGGGAAUCUGGUUAGGAUUACCAAGGUUUGUUAUCCACUAUUUUGCUAGAUUUGCUUGAGAGGUCUUAGCUAGUUUUGCUAAAUGGUGGAUUUCUUAUCCACUAUUUUGUGUUUUUGUUUUAAUAAAUUGUCAUCGUUUCUUCACCCCCCCCCCC